rnacentral:rRNA from 1 species
AGAAUCAACGCUGGCGGCGUGCCUAACACAUGCAAGUCGCACGAGAAAGGGGCUUCGGCUCUGAGUAAAGUGGCGGCACGGGUGAGUAACACGUGAAUAAUCUACCUCCGGAGUGGGGAAUAACUGAGAGAAAUCUUAGCUAAUACCGCAUAACACUUACGAGUCAAAGCAGCAAUGCGCUUGGAGAGGAGUUCGCGGCCGAUUAGUUAGUUGGCGGGGUAAUGGCCCACCAAGACGAUGAUCGGUA